UUGCUUCAGCAGCACAUACACUAAAACUGGAACGAUACAGAGAAGAUUAGUAUGGCCCCUGUGCGAGGAUGACACGCAAAUUCAUGAAGUGUUCCACCAAAAA